AAAAGCUUCCAUAACCAAGAGAAAGAGAGUAGGAGAUAAGAGGUCUCCUUGUCUUAGUCCCCUUUCACUAGCAAAGUAUCCCACCAAAGAACCAUUUAAAUUCAAGAGAACCUGGAGGUAGUAACACAAUUCUUCACCCAAGUAAUGAAUAAAGGAGGAAAAUUCAUAGCAGCCAUAACAGAGAAUAAAAAUUUCCACUUUACUAUAUCAUAGGCCUUCAUAAUACCUUC
rnacentral:lncRNA from 1 species